GCCUGGGUGGCUCAGUUGGUUAAGUAUCUGACUUCAACUCAGGUCAUGAUCUUGUGGUUUGCGGGUUCGAGCCCUGCGUCGGGCU
rnacentral:tRNA from 1 species